UGUCUUCGGGGCGGGGUGAAAUUCCCCACCGGUGGUAAUGCGGCGCAGUCCGACAAGCCCACGAGCCUUUUGGUUGAUGCUGGUGAGAUCCCAGAGCCGACGGUUAAAGUCCGGAUGAAAGAAGA
rnacentral:ncRNA from 1 species